GACGAACGCUGGCGGCGUGCUUAACACAUGCAAGUCGUACGGUAAGGCCCUUUCGGGGGUCCACGAGUGGCGCACGGGUGCGUAACACGUGAGUAACCUGCCCACAACUUUGGGAUAACGCUAGGAAACUGGGGCUAAUACUGGAUAUGUGCUCCUGCUGCAUGGUGGGGGUUGGAAAGCUCCUGCGGUUGUGGAUGGACUCGCGGCCUAUCAGCUUGUUGGUGGGGUAGUGGGCUACCAAGGCGGCGACGGGUCGCCGGCCUGAGAGGGUGACCGGCCACAUUGGGACCUAGAUACGGCCCCGACUCCUACGAGAGGCAGAAGUGGGGAAUAUUGAACAAGGGGCGCCAGCCUGAUGCAGAACCGCCGCGUGCGGGAUGACGGCCUUCGGGUUGUAAACCGCUUUCAGCAGGGACGAAGCUUUUUGUGACGGUACCUGCAGAAGAAGCACCGGCUAACUACGUG
rnacentral:rRNA from 1 species